UACAAGUGCAAUCCACCUCAAUGAGUACUGGCUUAAACACAUUUCUUAUAUUGAAUAUCUGUAGCUUUAUUCCUCUGUAGUUCAGAUAUAGUAUUGAACAAUUUCGUCAUAAAAACAUUUAUGUUAAAAACCUGACGGAUUUAUUUAUUGGUAACACACACAGGAAGUUCCUAUUCUACAACAACAAACCGAUGUGUUAUUUUCUGAUGUGAAACAAACGGAAGUGUGUGAAACUGGACGAGGAAUAAACGAGGACCUGAGCACUAGGACCAUGCCUUAGGACUACCUGACCUGAUGACUCCUUGCUGUCCCCAGUCCACCUGGUCGUGCUUCUGCUCCAGUUUGAAUUGUUCUGCCUGUGGCUAUGGAACCUUGACCUGUUCACCGGACGUGCUACCUGUCCCAGACCUGCUGUUUUCAACUCUCUAGAGACAGCAGGAGCGGUAGAGAUACUCUGAAUGAUUGGCUAUGAAAAGCCAACUGACAUUUACUCCUGAGGUGCUGACCGGCACCCUCUACAACCACUUAAUCGUCAGUGAUGAGUGACUAUGACUGCCAACAGACAGGGAUGGAACUGGGCCAGUGGAGCAGGCUCUGUCUCAGGACACAUCAGUGAUAACAGUGUCUCAGUGUGUUCUGGCUCUGUGGAUGCUGUUUCCUACCUGACCCCGCACCAGAGGAG